CCUGCAAGUCGACAGUUAAAUUCAAGUCCACAGUCCCAAUAUGUUUUCUGCAGUCGAAUGUGGCUGUGUAAUUUCUCUGCAGGCAGAAUCAAUUCAACCGGCCCGAAUCACGGUAUUCAAGAUUAAUCUUCCGUGUUAGUUUAAAGUAAUUUAAUCCAACGUGUCGGUAAUUGACGGCUCCAUGUCACGCUGUUAUCAGUCGUGGGUCGGAGAUACCUGUCGUAUUUCAGUUGCAGGACAAGGUAGAGCAGUGUCCUUGAAGUGUCGUCAUGGAUCAACACAACUGAAGUUCAAAACAGCCUAGCAGACGUCACUACAAUCCUGAGCACCUGACGUCAUUUUACUCCUGAACUUCUGACGUCACAUCUGAUUCUGACGUCAUUUUACGCGUGAAAUCUAACGUCAUCAAACGCACCUGACGUCUUGACUAGCCAGUUAGACGUAGAUCUAGUUGUCUUUGACGAUACACAACUUCCUAGCUCGGUGCUGAAGUAAACAGCUUGACUAUCAACAAGCGGGGGGAAUAACCAAUGUUGGAUGAUCUAGAAAUGACUAAAAUACAAGAUCUAGCACGGAUUACCCGUAUGAUGCGCAUGCGCAUGUGGAUCGUGUCGUUCGCCAUUUUGUUUGGCCUGGGUUAUCUAUUCUUCCUGUUCUACUACCUCAAGACACACCCACACGAUGGCGACUCAGACUCUCAGCCGGAAGUCGUGGGUCCAAGUUAAAGGAUCGAAUCUCACUCAGACAAACUAUCUGAUAGCCUACACUGAUAUAAUACGACAAGUCACCGAUUCUGAAACAACUGGUUUAGUACCUUGUGGUUAGUCAAAACUGGUUCGGUAACAUCUGGUUCAGUAACACUAAACACUGGUUUAGUAACAUAUGGUUCAGUCACAACUGAUUCAGUCAGUACCAUCUGACUCAUUAGCAACUGGUUCAGUAACAUUUGGUUCAGUAACUUGUGGUUAGUCAAAACUGGUUCGGUAACAUUUGGUUCAGUAACUUGUGGUUAGUCAAAACUGGUUCGGUAACAUUUGGUUCAGUAACUUGUGGUUAGUCAAAACUGGUUCGGUAACAUCUGGUUCAGUAACACUUAGUUCAGAAACAUUUGGUCAGUAACAUUUGUUUCAGUAACAUUUGGUUAAAAACUUGUAUCUUACAACCAGCAACAAUUUAUUGGAUCUAAAAACAGCACAGCAACAGACUAUAGAAGAUGUAAAAUUGAUGAACUCUACUCCACCUGUCAAUUUCAGGCCCGAAUUAUACGUCACAACAACAUGCCUAUAUUAUUUAUAUUGUGUGCUGACGUUGUGGAAGAGCAUUUACACGCGCUGCUGUCCAAAAUCGCUCAAUCAUUCUAAAUUCACUGUCAACAAUGCGAAUUUUGUUUUGAUGCCUGAUGUUCGCAGCUGCAGUGAACUGCGGGUCGCAUCCAGUAAAGCAACAACUGUUUUAGUUUGUUUGUUUUGUUUUACCAUGUAAAAUAUAAACAUGAAG